rnacentral:rRNA from 1 species
CAAGUCGAACGAAUCCCAGCUUUGUAGCAAUACCGAGCUGGGGGAAGUGGCGAAAGGGGCAGUAAUGCGUGGGUAACCUACCCCGGGGACGGGGAUAGCUAUUCUAACGAGUAGGUAAUACCUGGCGAUUUGGUCGAGGGGCAUCCCUUGGCCAGGAAAUGAGUUUCGCCUCGGGAGGGGCUCACGUGAUAUUAGCUAGUUGGUGGGGUAACGGCCUACCAAGGCAAAGAUGUCUAGCGGGUGUGAGAGCACGACCCGCGCCACUGGCACUGAGACACUGGCCAGACACCUACGGGUGGCUGCAGUCGAGGAUCUUUGGCAAUGAGCGCAAGCUUGACCAAGCGACGCCGCGUGUGCGAUGAAGGCCUUCGGGUUGUAAAGCACUGUCGAGGGGGACGAAGCCGCAAGGUUGACCGAUCCCUGGAGGAAGCACGGGCUAAGUUCGUGCCAGCAGCCGCGGUAAGACGAACCGUGCGAACGUUGUUCGGAAUCACUGGGCUUAAAGGGCGCGUAGGCGGCUUGCCAAGUCGGGGGUGAAAUCCGGCAGCUUAACUGUCGAAGUGCCUUCGAUACUGGCAAGCUCGAGGGAGGUAGGGGUCUGUGGAACUUCUGGUGGAGCGGUGAAAUGCGUUGAUAUCAGAAGGAACGCCGGUGGCGAAAGCGACGGACUGGACCUCUUCUGACGCUGAGGCGCGAAAGCUAGGGGAGCAAACGGGAUUAGAUACCCCGGUAGUCCUAGCCCUAAACGAUGGGUACUAGAUUGUAGACUAACAUGGGUUUACAAUCGAAGCAAAAGUGUUAAGUACCCCGCCUGGGGAGUAUGGUCGCAAGGCUGAAACUCAAAGGAAUUGACGGGGGCUCACACAGC